rnacentral:misc_RNA from 1 species
CCGAGUUAGGGUUGCCUUUUCAAGGUGCCCGACCUCCCAACCCUUUGUCUAUGAUACCACAGUUGCUUCGGCGGACCGAGGGAUCAGACCCUCGCCGGGACCUUCGGGGCCUGGAGAGCGUCCGUCGAUGGCCUCAACUUAACACUUGAACCCAAAACCUGUCGUCUGAAAACAUUUUAUGAUUUAUAAUCAAAAACA